GGAAUUAGUUUAAAUCUUGAAUCCCGAAACAUGUCUGUCCCAUCAACAAAUUUACUCAACAAAGAACUUUUAUUUACUGGCCUUUCUGCAGCAUAGUAGAGUACCAAACUGUAGUUUGGUUUUCCUGGAAUCUGAAGAUUAAUGACAAGUAUAAAUGGAAGCUUCUUCCCGGCCUGUGUCUGCACUAGACAUUCGGGAUGCAAUGCAACUCUAUCCAUGGGACUAUCAACUUUGAACCAGUCAACAGCUAAGAGCUUGAGAAGGGGAUCCCCACCCAUUACCUUAGAGUUAUCCUUUAGGUAAGUCUUUCCCCUUAUCAUAAAUCCCAUUCCACCUGGAGAAGUCCAACA
rnacentral:misc_RNA from 1 species